ensembl:lncRNA
GAGGGGGCGAGCCCCUCGGCGGCCGGGCCGGAAAGAAAUACAGAUGCAAAAGCAAGACCUGGAUAAAUGAGACAAGUAUUGUUCCUUCAAGCAGAAUGUCCUGACUUCAAGACAGAUCCCAGACAGGCGAGCAAUGCCCCGCUGCAGCCGCUGGCAAUGGGUGGCCACUCACAAGAGGUGGGAUGGUUCCAUUCACACAUCAAGGCUCGAUCCAAGCCCCGCUGGAGGUUUUUCAUCUCCCCCAAUGAAGUCCAGCUCAAGCACCUGGCCGACACAGAGCUCGGCUGACACGACAGGUGGAGCCCUUCCAAAAAUACACGCCAUCAUCCCUUCGGCAAGCAGGAGGACGGGGUUCCCACGUUAGCAGCAGCAGCAGUAGGGAUUCCUAGAAAGACGCAGUGCCUUCGGGUGCCCAACCCAUCCCCGCGCCCUGCUGGGAUGCAUGGCCAUUGCGGUGUGCAGGGAGAGUGAUCCCAAAACACAUCCAGCGCCACACCAACCUGCGAAUGGCGGUGGCACAUCUUCAAACCUCCCCGAAACCCAAGGCGGAAUUUCACCCUUUCCCACUUGUAUAGCUGCAAACAAACGCCGUGCUUGGCCUGAACGCGUCAGCGCGUGGGUUGUAGGGCCACACAGAGCCCCCGUUUCGUUGUGCAGCAGCAGCAGCCUGCUGCACCCCACAGCAUAUCUGCAUUUUCCUAUGGCAGGAAGGUGCAGCAGUGGGGCCACUGUAGCAAAAUGCCUCCACACCCUGCUCCAUCCACAGCCAAAUACGAAACACCAAUCCAAGAGUUUUCUUCAAGCUAUAAAAAUAAAGCAAAGUUGUUCCCAGGGAACAGAGAAAAAGUCAAUUCCACAGUCCCUGCACAGUUAUAAGCGCUCUCCAUAAGACUGAAUGCUUUUUUCUGCCUCGGAACAGCCCUCUCUGAUCCAGCAGAGCAAAGUUUGUUGAUAUUCGGGGUUGCAAACCCAUGUGUUUACUCAGGCUUUUGUCUGUCAGCAGAGUUUGAAGAGGUCGCUUUGAGAGAUCAAUAUUUUUUCCUGGGGGUUUCUUCAGAGCUACCACAAUUUGUUAUUGCGUCUGUUUAGAGGCUUUAAUUUGUGGUUUUCAAGAUUGCAUAACUGAGCAGAGAGGUGGUGAGAGGCCCACAUGAAGAGUUCAAAAUAAAUUUGACAAUAUAGUAAAUAUCUGCUCAGUAAUUUUCCCUGGUCUGAAUGCCACAGAAUGCCAACAGAGCCAUUAGUCAGGCUGGGUAUGAAGGUGCCUUUAUGGGAUCAGGGCACAUGUUUCCAUCCAGAUGGUACAGAACUGGAUUCACCUCACACGUCACUGACACCAACAGAGGACGUCCCUCUGGGGGCUCCCACCCGGGUGCCCGUUUAUAGGUUGCUCUAAAAGGCGUUGCUUUGAACCAGAUAUGGAAAAAUUAAAAUGAGACUUUAAUUUUGCCCUUUGCUCAGAGUUCUCAUAGUAAUUUACAUCAAAAUGAACCGAACCGCUCGCCUCCCAUAAGGCGGCCCAGGGGUUGAUUGUAUAUCAGUCCUGCAAACAUCAGCUGGGAGGUGUGGGGAUGCACACGGGGAUGCGUUCACUGCAGAUGGGAACUGUGGCCCCACAGGUCAUUGGGGGGCUGCAGGUGGAAGCCCAGCACUGACACCAUACAGAAAUGGGGUUCUCAGCACGGACGCUGCAUGGCAUCCUCCAGCCAAGCAUCCCCGGCUCCGGGAGGAAGCACCUGUAAGCGUGGUCUCAGGGCACUGUGUGAAUGGGUGACGAGUUGGGGUUGGACUUGAUGAUCUUAGCAGUGUUUUCCAACCUUAAUGAUUCUAUGAUUCUACGACUGCAGGAGCACAUGUACAUAGCAGAGGGCAGUGUUCAGCGCUUCGGACAGCUCUCACAGAUAGUUCUGAGGAAGGUGGUGAAGAAGUGAUGUGCACGCUGCGGACUGGGAGCCCUGUGUCAGCAGAGCCGCAGGACCGGCAGGCUUUGCCUGGAACUGCGUCUAGAUCUGAGCCGGGACCCCCGGGGGGACAGCCGGGCAGGCGCGAGGCGAACAGCCCCGGGACGGGAUGGGACGGGACGGGCGCGCCCCGCGGACAGGCUCCAGCCGGGCCGGCGUCGAGCGCGAAGGAAG